rnacentral:rRNA from 1 species
AGAGUUUGAUCCUGGCUCAGAUUGAACGCUGGCGGAAUGCUUUACACAUGCAAGUCGAACGGCAGCACGGGAGCUUGCUCCUGGUGGCGAGUGGCGAACGGGUGAGUAAUGCAUCGGAACGUACCGAGUAAUGGGGGAUAACGCAUCGAAAGGUGUGCUAAUACCGCAUACGCCCUGAGGGGGAAAGUGGGGGAUCGCAAGACCUCACGUUAUUCGAGCGGCCGAUGCCUGAUUAGCUAGUUGGUGAGGUAAAGGCUCACCAAGGCGACGAUCAGUAGCUGGUCUGAGAGGAUGAUCAGCCACACUGGAACUGAGACACGGUCCAGACUCCUACGGGAGGCAGCAGUGGGGAAUUUUGGACAAUGGGCGCAAGCCUGAUCCAGCCAUUCCGCGUGAGUGAAGAAGGCCUU